GAAAUGCGAUAAGUAAUGUGAAUUGCAGAAUUCAGUGAAUCAUCGAAUCUUUGAACGCACAUUGCGCCCGCCAGUAUUCUGGCGGGCAUGCCUGUCCGAGCGUCAUUUCAACCAUCAAGCCCCCGGGCUUGUGUUGGGGACCUGCGGCUGCCCGCAGGCCCUGAAAACCAGUGGCGGGCUCGCUGUCACACCGAGCGUAGUAGCAAUCUCCUCGCUCAGGGCGUGCUGCGGGUUCCGGCCGUUAAACAGCCUUACAAAACCCAAGGUUGACCUCGGAUCAGGUAGGAAGACCCGCUGAACUUAAGC
rnacentral:misc_RNA from 1 species